UUGUUAUGUAUGAAAAAUAAAAAUAAAAAUGUUAAACGUAUAAGUAUUUUAAAAUUUUAUAUUUUGGUUACAGCUGAUGUAACUCCGACGAGCGAAGAAAAUUGUGUAGAGCAUGGAGAAUUACUAAAAAAUCUGGAAAAACGAAGAAGAAUGAUGACUAUGAAAUCUACAGCGUUAUUAAUCCAUCAUGUAAAAACUGGAGAGAAUGCACGAUUCGGACAAUUUUCUGAUAUAUGUAAUUUAAUAGGAUUAUACAAAAGUAUGGAGUACCCAAAAAAAUUUAUAAGACAAGCUAAAGUCGAUAGAUAUGGAGUUUGU